CUCCUGCACCUAUUUUCUAUUGAUCAGCAUAUGGAUGGAGUAGGUGACAAAGGGUCGGGGUGGGAAGGAGACAAAAGGG